rnacentral:misc_RNA from 1 species
ACAUGAACAAAGUGGAAUUGAGGAGUUUCAUGUUUUCCUUUGUAUCUACGAGAAUACAAAGACAAAUAAAAUCAAUGAAAACCACCGAAAUUAAAGAGUUUGAGAAAUCUUUAAUCUCCAUUAUCUCCAUGACUUGAUUUUCUCCAAGUUCCAAAAUUGUCUCCAUAGAUUGUUUACCAUCAAACUCCAUUAGAAUCUCCAUGGCAUGAUAUUCUUCAUUCCUUGGGACACAUUCCUCAAGCUCUUCAUCUUCAACCAUAGCAAAGGAAAUUCAAUCAUAGCUUCUAGUUCCAAUUCUGACAUUAUUCGCCUCAACUUCAAGUUGAGUUUCGGAUUCAAGUUGCUCUUGCCUUUCUUCCUCUUCCACUAAUAGAUUUUUGUGUUGGUUGUCCUUGCACUCGGCUAUAAAUCCAGAUUGAGCUUGAGUUAUGGUUGGAAAAACCCUCCCAAUAUCCAUACGCACCUCUUUCCCGAUAGUCACUAUUCUGUUGAUGCCUUUUGCACCUGAUCGGUACCAAAUCCUCCUCCUCCUUUGAAUCUUCUUUGUAAACAUAAUGUCGGCAUAAAAGAAUUGGCUGAUAUGCAACUCUUCUUCUAUAUCUUUCGUUGCUUGGAUGUCUAUAGAACCUGUUUGGUUCAUAGUCAAUUUCCUCUUCCCAGUCUUCCUUGUAGAUAUAUUGCCUACGUGGAGAAAAAGGUCUCACCAUGAGCUAACUUUUCCCUUGGCCUUCUAUCAUCAUACCAAUCCCUGAUUGUAUUGAUUAUCAAAGUAUCAAGCCGAUCUACAAUUUCUUCUCAACAUCUCUUGAUAUGCUUGAAUCUGAGAUCCAUCCUUUGCUUCAGACGUCGCUCCAUCAUUGCAAUGUUUCAUCCCUAUGGUUAAGAGCUCUAGCUCCCUGACAACCAUCACGAGAACCACUAUAAUCACCACCUCCAUCAAGGUAAGUCAUCUUGAUUAGGGAGAUUUUCCUACUCUGAUACCACCUGACGCAGCGUGAAGCUUAAAUAAAAAACACCCUAUACACAAGAGUGAAAAUAAGGAAAGAAACUUUUGUUGAAUUUUUAUUAAUAAUAAUCUAUCCCCCAAAUCACAUGUAAAUAAGGGUAUUUAUAAAUAUUAAUCUCCUAAAUCUAAUAGGAAUGUAAAACUACUAA